AUGCGUUUGACUAAAAUGAAUCCUUAUGCUAAAUACAUGAAAUAUAUUGUUACAAAUAAACGAAAGAUAACGGGAGCUAAAAUUUCCACCAUGCUUGCUAAUUAUACUUUUAAGGGUGGAAUACCUAAGAAACUAGGAGAUCUAGGAGUACCAACUAUACCAUGCUCCAUUAAAAGAAACUAUGUUAAAACUGCUUUAUGUGAUCUUGGAGCCAAUGUUAGUGUUAUGCCUCUCUCUUUAUAUCAUAGACUUGAAUUGAAUAAGUUGACACCUACUGAAAUAUCUUUGCAAAUGGCUGAUAAAUCAACUGCUAUACCUGUUGGUAUUUGUGAGGAUGUGCCUGUUGUGGUUGCAAACGUUACUAUUUUAAUGGACUUUGUUAUUCUUGAUAUCCCCGAGGACGAUAGUAUGUCGAUUAUCCUUGGUAGACCCUUUUUGAAUACUGUAGGGGCUGUUAUUAAUUGCAACAAAGGCAAUGUCACUUUUCAUGUUAAUGGUAAUGAGCAUACGGUACAUUUCCCGAGGAAACAACCUCAAGUUCACAGUAUCAUUUCUAUUGGAAAAAUUCCAUCAAUUAUUAUUGGAGGUUUUGAAUUUCCUCUUCCUACUGUCAAGAAGAAAUAUGAUAUUCUUAUUAUUGGGGAUGUACAUAUCCCCGUUGAGGUAACCUAG
rnacentral:rRNA from 1 species